ACUCUGAAUGCCUCAAGAGUGGGAGAUUGGUCUUGUUAAUCAGAGAAGCUCCAGGUCUAGCCUAGUGCCUGGCAUAUACUUUAUACAAUUAUUCCCAAAUCUUCCAAACUGACAGUGAGGGAGAGUAAUUUGAAAGGACUGCUCAACUCACGUCUUUGAAGAUUUGCACCAUAGCUGCAUUUUUCCAAUUUCCUGGCAUCUAUUCUGCUCUCCUGGACUUUUCAGAAACAAUUGUAAGUGGAUGACUAAAUAUAAUAACUGAUUCCAUUGAUA